rnacentral:rRNA from 1 species
UACGUAGGUGACGAGCGUUAUCCGGAAUACUGGGCGUAAAGCGCACGCAAGCGGUUGGACAAGUCUGGCGUGAAAUCCUCUGGCUUAACCAGGGGCGGUCGCUGGAGACUGUUCGGCUUGAGGCGAUGAGAGGGGUGCAGAAUUCCCGGUGUAGUGGUGGAAUGCGUAGAGAUCGGGAGGAAUACCAGUGGCGAAAGCGGCACCCUGGCGUCGUACUGACGCACAUGUGCGAAAGCGUGGGGAGCGAACGGG